CUAGUUGGUAGGGUAACGGCCUACCAAGGCUUUGAUCGUUAGCUGGUCUGAGAGGAUGGCCAGCCACACUGGAACUGAGACACGGUCCAGACUCCUACGGGAGGCAGCAGUGGGGAAUCUUGCACAAUGGGCGAAAGCCUGAUGCAGCGACGCCGCGUGGGGGAUGAAGCAUCUCGGUGUGUAAACCCCUUUCGACCCGGAAGAAUGCCUCGCAAGAGGACUGACGGUACGGGUAUAAGAAGCCCCGGCUAACUACGUGCCAGCAGCCGCGGUAAGACGUAGGGGGCCAGCGUUGUUCGGAAUUACUGGGUGUAAAGGGUUCGUAGGCGGUGUGGCAAGUUGGGAGUGAAAUCUCUGGGCUCAACCCAGAGGCUGCUUCCAAAACUGCUGUGCUUGAGUGUGGGAGAGGCGCGUGGAAUUGCAGGUGUAGCGGUGAAAUGCGUAGAUAUCUGCAGGAACACCCGUGGCGAAAGCGGCGCGCUGGACCACUACUGACGCUGAGGAACGAAAGCUAGGGGAGCAAACAGGAUUAGAUACCCUGGUAGUCCUAGCCCUAAACGAUCAGGACUUGGGGUGCCGCCCGUUCGGGCGUCGUCCCGGAGCUAACGCGUUAAGUCCUGCACCUGGGGAGUACGGUCGCAAGACUGAAACUCAAAGGAAUUGACG
rnacentral:rRNA from 1 species